rnacentral:misc_RNA from 1 species
UUCAUUUCCAAGAGAUAAAUUUCAAUUUACAAUUUCCUUCCUCCUAUUUGCUCUCAAUUUUCUUUCAAUUUUUAUCCAGAAUUCUAGCCCGUACGUUUCACCCUGCUAUCGAAAUCAUCAUGUGCUUUACACUUAGGGAAAGAGAGGGUUUGCCAGCGCGAUCUCACGAACCCAUUGACAGAUCGCGGCGUGCAGACGUCCCAGUAAUCGACUCUUCUCGCAGAGAGGCGGAAGAGACGUUGGAAGAGGGGUUGAGGUCCGCUCGACAAAGCCUUUUGAUCUAUCACCUCGUCGCUGCUGUAAACCGGUAGCAGUAGGAUUAACGAAGAUAGCUCCUUCACUCAGCUUUUAAUUUUUCGUUCAUUGUACUACGUUUGAGACUAGUUUCAAGUGAAAUAUUUAAUCGAUUCAGCUGGAACAGGACGCCGGUCUAAAUGAAGCGUCUCAUCAGGCCGUUCAUUCGUCAUUUUCUGAAGAAUAACUUUCAUUCAACCAACACGAGGAAACCAUUUCGUUCCAGCAGCCGAAGAAACUAAUUUGCAACGCGCGAAACUGACGCGCCAGUGCGAUAGAGACCACACUACGGGAGUCCUUGCUUAAUUGUCGGGGAUGAGCUAAUUCCGUUAAAGAGAGUCCUUCGGAGAAGUAUAAUUAAUCUUGAACGUCGUUCAGACUGCCUCGAGAAUUUCUUCACGCCAUAGGAAAAAUUCUCUUCGAAAAAGUUCACCUUGUCUUCGUUUAAAACAAUUUUCCAAUCUUUACGUCGUUCUGUUUCGAGGGAAAAAAGGAAGGUAGAGAAA